rnacentral:rRNA from 1 species
UACGAAAGGAGCUAGCGUUGUUCGGAAUCACUGGGCGUAAAGGGCGUGUAGGCGGUCAGGUAAGUGGGAUGUGAAAGCCCUCGGCUCACCCGAGGAUCUGCAUCUCAAACUGCCUGGCUUGAAUCCGGGAGAGGGAUGCGGAAUUCCAGGUGUAGCGGUGAAAUGCGUAGAUAUCAAGAGGAACACCUGAGGCGAAGGCGGGUUGCUAGGCUGACACUGACGCUGAGGCGCGGAAAUGCCCAGGGGAGCAAACGGG